rnacentral:rRNA from 1 species
AUACGAAGGGUGCGAGCGUUAAUCGGAAUUACUGGGCGUAAAGCGCGCGUCGGCGGUUGGAUAAGUCGGAUGUGAAAGCCCCGGGCUCAACCUGGGAAUUGCAUUCGAAACUGUCCGGCUAGAGUAUGGUAGAGGGAAGCGGAAUUCCACAUGUAGCGGUGAAAUGCGUAGAUAUGUGGAGGAACACCAGUGGCGAAGGCGGCUUCCUGGACCAAUACUGACGCUGAGGUGCGAAAGCGUGGGGAGCAAACAGGAUUAGAAACCCUAGUAGUCC